rnacentral:rRNA from 1 species
GUGGCGACCGGCGCACGGGUGAGUAACACGUGUGCAACCAACCCCGUACCGGGAGAUAACCCGCGGAAACGUGGACUAACAUCCCAUAAUACUGGAGGAUCGCAUGAUCUUUCAUUUAAAAUUCCGGUGGUACGGGACGGGCACGCGCGACAUUAGGUAGUUGGCGGGGUAAGGGCCCACCAAGCCGACGAUGUCUAGGGGUUCUGAGAGGAAGGUCCCCCACACUGGAACUGAGACACGGUCCAGACUCC